GACGUAGGGCGCGAGCGUUGUCCGGAUUUAUUGGGCGUAAAGAGCUCGUAGGCGGCCUGUCGCGUCGACCGUGAAAACUUGGGGCUCAACCCCAAGCCUGCGGUCGAUACGGGCAGGCUAGAGUUCGGUAGGGGAGACUGGAAUUCCUGGUGUAGCGGUGAAAUGCGCAGAUAUCAGGAGGAACACCGGUGGCGAAGGCGGGUCUCUGGAACGCAACUGACGCUGAGACGCGAAAGCGUGGGGAGCAAACAGG
rnacentral:rRNA from 1 species